GGGGAAUCUUCCGCAAUAGACGAAAGUCUGACGGAGCAACGCCGCGUGAGUGAUGACGGCCUUCGGGUUGUAAAGCUCUGUUAAUCGGGACGAAAGGCCUUCUUGCGAAUAGUUAGAAGGAUUGACGGUACCGGAAUAGAAAGCCACGGCUAACUACGUGCCAGCAGCCGCGGUAAUACGUAGGUGGCAAGCGUUGUCCGGAAUUAUUGGGCGUAAAGCGCGCGCAGGCGGAUUGGUCAGUCUGUCUUAAAAGUUCGGGGCUUAACCCCGUGAUGGGAUGGAAACUGCCAAUCUAGAGUAUCGGAGAGGAAAGUGGAAUUCCUAGUGUAGCGGUGAAAUGCGUAGAUAUUAGGAAGAACACCAGUGGCGAAGGCGACUUUCUGGACGAAAACUGACGCUGAGGCGCGAAAGCCAGGGGAGCGAACGGGAUUAGAUACCCCGGUAGUCCUGGCCGUAAACGAUGGGUACUAGGUGUAGGAGGUAUCGACCCCUUCUGUGCCGGAGUUAACGCAAUAAGUACCCCGCCUGGGGAGUACGACCGCAAGGUUG
rnacentral:rRNA from 1 species